UACGUAGGGUGCGAGCGUUGUCCGGAAUUAUUGGGCGUAAAGAGCUCGUAGGCGGUCUGUCGCGUCGAAUGUGAAAACCCGGGGCUCAACUCCGGGCUUGCAUUCGAUACGGGCAGGCUAGAGUUCGGUAGGGGAGUCUGGAAUUCCUGGUGUAGCGGUGAAAUGCGCAGAUAUCAGGAGGAACACCGGUGGCGAAGGCGGGACUCUGGGCCGAUACUGACGCUGAGGAGCGAAAGCCAGGGGAGCAAACGGG
rnacentral:rRNA from 1 species